CACUCCAAGAUGGCGGCCAACUGUCCACUCCAUUGCCGGAAUGUUCCACCUCUUCUCUGAGGCUAGUGAAUUCGGAUCCCUAUGGGGCCACACUCCUCUAGUCUGGGGGUCUGUUUUGGAGAACAGAUACGGAUUGGAGGAGAGACUUAGAAGAUCGUGGAUCUGGAUGAGGAGAGCUGCAACUCCCAACCCUCCUGCAGUCCCAGGAGAGAUGGCAUCCUUCCCAAAUGACAUUCCUACACAACAUCGGCAACAACAGUGGCUGCGGCAGAAUCUCUCCACGGCCAGUUGGAUAUCCCUUGCUACGGUGGCCCAGUCUGGGGUCCCUUGCAUUUGAGGUCAGCUCCAGGUUCAUCCAUUCCCGUUCAGGUAGCAAGAAUUCCUCAGAGGGACUCGGAAAACCUCAGGUGCAGCAACCCAGAAUGGCACUUCCCUCCUGCUAGAGUCAGCUCCAGCUUCACUCACACACACUUCGGUUCCAGAAGAAACUGCAUGUGCACCCAUGGUCGCCCUGAUCUUUAUGGGAAGUCCCUCUCCCUCUCCCUCUUCCCUGACACCUGUCCCUGCCCUGAAGAUGGGGUGACUUAGUAACUAUGAGAAGAUUAAAGCUAUCCAUUUAAAAGCA